rnacentral:lncRNA from 1 species
AUGCAGAGAAUCAUGGAAGAAAUGGAAGGAGGCCCAGGCAAGCUGUCAUUCAUUCCUACACACGCACACCCUCCAGGUCACUGGCAAGUGGGAGACCACCGAAAGGAUUCCAGCCAAUCAAUGGGUACUGAGUACAUCUUUUUCACUCAAGCCUGUGCUGAAAAGACUGCAGCAAAGCGUGCAAGGGAUUGUGGGAUAGGGAUGCAGCAGAGAGCUGCAAUGAGAUUUGCUGGGUGGAUUUCUUUCCCUUCCCCUUUCCUAGCCAGCAAUCAGCUGUUUCAAGGCAGAGUGAUGGCCCGCUGCAUUUCAUCACUGGAAUGUUUUUAUAGGAUUAGCAAGCAGCCUGCUCUGAUGCCAGAAGACACACAAACAGCUCAGGAAUCUGGCAGAGUCAAGGGCUACAAAAUCAGCACUGAGAGGCUAUGCCUUGCCUCCGAUGUACUUCGUAAUGAGAUCAUUGGAAAACAAGCUGAAAACAAGAGGCACGUGGACAUUAUUUUUCAGCAAAGUGAAGGAAAUAUUUUCUUGAAGUAUUUGUAAGAAUAUUUUCUCACAACCCUGUGUGGUUUGGUUUCUCCCUUCAGCAGAAUAGAGAUGGAAAGUAUUAGCUAAGAGAAUGAACUGCAAGCAAAGAAAUGGCAUAGUGUUGCCACCCCAAUUUCUGUAGAGUCUUUUUCAUAAUACUUAAUACUUAAACUGCCAUGGCUUCAUCCUAUGGAGUUGUGGGUCUUGUAGUUUCAUAAAUUGUUUGGAUGUUUCAACCAGAGAGCCCUAGUACACCACCAAACUUCAAAUCUCAGGAUUGCAUUGGAGGCAGUCAUGCUAGUUAAAAUGAUAAUUAAAUAUUAUAAUUUGGUUGUGUGAAAAAAACUAGGUUAUCUUAAGGAAUCACAAGUCAAAAUAAUGGGAUAACCAUUUUUAAAAUUGCGUCAGAAGUGACUUGAGGACAUACUGCAAGUCACUUCUGGUGUGAGAGAAUUGGCCGUCUACAGAGAAGUUGCCCAGGGGACGCCCAGAUGUGUCACCAUCCAUCUGCCCUUAAACAGGCCAUAGUGAGGCCCAUUCUGAAGAAGGCCUCCCUUGAUUCGACCAUGUUGAGCAAUUACAGACUAUCUCAAACCUACCUUUUUUGGGCAAGGUCCUGGAGCGGGUGGUUGCUUCGCAGCUCCAGGGUUUCCUGGAUGACACCGAUUUUCUGGACCCAUCUCAGUCCGGCUUUAGACCUGGUCAUAGUACUGAGACGACUUUGGUCGCCUGGACAGGAGGAGUGUGACCCUGCUGGUUCUCUUGGACAUCUCAGCGGCUUUCGAUACCAUCAACCAUGGUAUCCUCCUGGGUCGGCUCUCUGGGAUGGGCCUUGGGGGUACUGCUCUGCAGUGGCUUCAGUCCUUCCUGGAGGGCCAUUCCGAUUUUCUGGUGUGAAGCUGGGGGACACCUGCUCGGACCCCUGGCCAUUGACCUGUGGGGUCCCGCAAGGUUCCAUUCUGUCCCCAAUGCUUUUUAACAUCGACAUGAAACCGCUGGGAGAGGUCAUCCAGAGUUU